AUUGAACGCUGGCGGAAUGCCUUACACAUGCAAGUCGAACGGCAGCACGGGGGGCAACCCUGGUGGCGAGUGGCGAACGGGUGAGUAAUACAUCGGAACGUGCCCAGUCGUGGGGGAUAACGUAGCGAAAGUUACGCUAAUACCGCAUACGAUCUACGGAUGAAAGCGGGGGACCGUAAGGCCUCGCGCGAUUGGAGCGGCCGAUGUCAGAUUAGGUAGUUGGUGAGGUAAAGGCUCACCAAGCCGACGAUCUGUAGCUGGUCUGAGAGGACGACCAGCCACACUGGGACUGAGGCACGGCCCAGACUCCUACGGGAGGCAGCAGUGGGGAAUUUUGGACAAUGGGCGCAAGCCUGAUCCAGCCAUUCCGCGUGCAGGACGAAGGCCUUCGGGUUGUAAACUGCUUUUGUACGGAACGAAAAGGCUCUGGUUAAUACCUGGGGCUCAUGACGGUACCGUAAGAAUAAGCACCGGCUAACUACGUGCCAGCCGCCGCCGUAA
rnacentral:rRNA from 1 species